rnacentral:rRNA from 1 species
GCAGUCGAACGGUAGCACAGAGAGCUUGCUCUCGGGUGACGAGUGGCGGACGGGUGAGUAAUGUCUGGGAAACUGCCUGAUGGAGGGGGAUAACUACUGGAAACGGUAGCUAAUACCGCAUAACGUCGCAAGACCAAAGAGGGGGACCUUCGGGCCUCUUGCCAUCAGAUGUGCCCAGAUGGGAUUAGCUAGUAGGUGGGGUAACGGCUCACCUAGGCGACGAUCCCUAGCUGGUCUGAGAGGAUGACCAGCCACACUGGAACUGAGACACGGUCCAGACUCCUACGGGAGGCAGCAGUGGGGAAUAUUGCACAAUGGGCGCAAGCCUGAUGCAGCCAUGCCGCGUGUAUGAAGAAGGCCUUCGGGUUGUAAAGUACUUUCAGCGGGGAGGAAGGUGUUGUGGUUAAUAACCGCAGCAAUUGACGUUACCCGCAGAAGAAGCACCGGCUAACUCCGUGCCAGCAGCCGCGGUAAUACGGAGGGUGCAAGCGUUAAUCGGAAUUACUGGGCGUAAAGCGCACGCAGGCGGUCUGUCAAGUCGGAUGUGAAAUCCCCGGGCUCAACCUGGGAACUGCAUUCGAAACUGGCAGGCUAGAGUCUUGUAGAGGGGGGUAGAAUUCCAGGUGUAGCGGUGAAAUGCGUAGAGAUCUGGAGGAAUACCGGUGGCGAAGGCGGCCCCCUGGACAAAGACUGACGCUCAGGUGCGAAAGCGUGGCAAACAGGAUUAGAUACCCUGGUAGUCCACGCCGUAAACGAUGUCGAUUUGGAGGUUGUGCCCUUGAGGCGUGGCUUCCGGAGCUAACGCGUUAAAUCGACCGCCUGGGGAGUACGGCCGCAAGGUUAAAACUCAAAUGAAUUGACGGGGGCCCGCACAAGCGGUGGAGCAUGUGGUUUAAUUCGAUGCAACGCGAAGAACCUUACCUGGUCUUGACAUCCACAGAACUUUCCAGAGAUGGAUUGGUGCCUUCGGGAACUGUGAGACAGGUGCUGCAU